GAUGAACGCUGGCGGCGUGCCUAAUACAUGCAAGUAGAACGCUGAAGGAGGAGCUUGCUCUUCUGGAUGAGUUGCGAACGGGUGAGUAACGCGUAGGUAACCUGCCUGGUAGCGGGGGAUAACUAUUGGAAACGAUAGCUAAUACCGCAUGACAACAGUUAUUGCAUGAUGACUGUUUAAAAGGGGCAACUGCUCCACUACCAGAUGGACCUGCGUUGUAUUAGCUAGUUGGUGAGGUAACGGCUCACCAAGGCGACGAUACAUAGCCGACCUGAGAGGGUGAUCGGCCACACUGGGACUGAGACACGGCCCAGACUCCUACGGGAGGCAGCAGUAGGGAAUCUUCGGCAAUGGACGGAAGUCUGACCGAGCAACGCCGCGUGAGUGAAGAAGGUUUUCGGAUCGUAAAGCUCUGUUGUAAGAGAAGAACGAGUGUGAGAGUGGAAAGUUCACACUGUGACGGUAUCUUACCAGAAAGGGACGGCUAACUACGUG
rnacentral:rRNA from 1 species